rnacentral:lncRNA from 1 species
UAAAUAACAACUUUAUUAUUGCCUCUAGAGCAUAUUUCCUUGACUUCGAGUUCUGUCUUUUGGUGUCUGGACACCAGGUAGGCCGCAAUCUGUUCCGUUCAAAUGGGCUUUUUGAUUUGGAAUCUGUCAGGCUAGUGACAGGCUAGCUAGGCAACAAAUAUGGGUCGGUAUACCCCCUAUUAGAAGCCUAAUAGAACAUGUUUAGCCCAUUUGCCUGCUCGUAUUCGUCCGCUUAACCUUGCCGUAUUGUCCUUCACCAGAUAUCUUGGCUCAUCCGCCUCUUUCUCUCUCCCCAAACGUAACGGUGGCGCCGUUACUCUCCAGCGAGAUGUGUUUCCUGAAUGUUGACGACCACAAUUACAUCUUUUUUCGAUCCACCCAUUGUGACCGCGCUUAGAUCUGCCUCAUAUUCAUUGAUUUUAGUUCGUUUACCUAAGCAGCCCUUCUUCUACAGGAUUGUGUUUUCCUACUGGACUUAAUAUUUUGAUUGUGUUUUUUUCUUUUUGCUGCUAAAUCCAUGUGCCUGUUUAGGUUGUUAUUUGUUCAGUUGGCAAAAGUUGUAGUUUCCCCAUCGUUGAUUCAAUUACUCCUAUUGUCCUCAUAUCGCAUAUUUACGAGAGGAUGUGUACUCACAACAAGGGCUUUAACAAAACUUUGGCAAGAGUAUUAAUUUCUAAUUUUUGGACCGGAUUGUGAUCACAGUUGCUACCGAAAACACUUAAAAUAAAAAUUGGCAUGGGUAUGAGGCCUUGAUUCUUACAACUAUAUUUUUGUGAUCGAGAUCAUCACGAUCUUAAUUUGUGCUCUGGAAAACAACCAUUAAGACGUUCUUACAAAGACUCGAAGUGGGGAUUGUGUUCAAAUUACGUCUUGACCGAAACAUGCCCUGCUUCAAGAUUUAGUUGUCCAACCGUAGGCCCCAUCCAUCGCAUGGGUAUACCUCAGUCAUUAAGAUAAAUCGGAUAAAAACAUUGGGUGUUUAAGAACUACACCUCAUCAAUCCCCAGCGAUUAGCUUCAUGCUACCAUACUAAACUUUUCUAUCAUUGAUGUUCAGAAUAGCAAUCCACUCCCUCUCUGCUCCUAACCUCCUCGUGGCUCGAACUCCGUUAUCCUAGAUACCUGCAGGGUCGAGGAAUGCGAGAGAGACAAGAGAUAACUACGAUGCAAUUUUAUUUCACACAUACAUGACGUUCAUUCAAAGUCAUUCCAUCAAGCCCACUUACAAACACAUCGGGUGGCAAGGCUAUGGCUCAACCCAUUGCCUUACCAAACUACGCACAUAUGAUGAUCGGAUCGCACGAAGAAACAAUUGAAGAACACAACAUGAUGCAAGCUUUAUUAAUAAUAUGUCUUACAGUGGUUGCCGGAUGCGAUACACGAUUACAAGAGGUGAAUUGCUGCGAUGGUGAAGAUGAUGGUGGCUAGCUAUGGAGAUGAGAUGGAAAAUGGCGGCAGCCAUGGUUUGUGAAUGGCUUAUGGUGCGGACAUGAGGUUCUGGUGUGCUCUCUUUUGUGAUUCUGGUACCGGCCCCUUUAUAAUAGUUGGAGCGUUGGACACCACGGUGUGGAUAGCGUGCGGUACGGGAUACCGUCUUGCGCUCUUUCAU